rnacentral:rRNA from 1 species
AACGAACGCUGGCGGCAUGCCUAACACAUGCAAGUCGAACGAGACCUUCGGGUCUAGUGGCGCACGGGUGCGUAACGCGUGGGAACCUGCCCUUAGGUUCGGAAUAACUCCCCGAAAGGGGUGCUAAUACCGGAUAAUGUCUUCGGACCAAAGAUUUCUCGCCUUUGGAUGGGCCCGCGUUGGAUUAGCUAGUUGGUAGGGUAAAAGCCUACCAAGGCGACGAUCCAUAGCUGGUCUGAGAGGAUGAUCAGCCACACUGGGACUGAGACACGGCCCAGACUCCGACGGGAGGCAGCAGUGGGGAAUAUUAGACGAGGAGCGAAAGCCUGAUCCAGCAAUGCCGCGUGAGUGAGGAAGGCCUUAGGGUUGUAAAGCUCUUUUACCCGGGAUGAUAAUGACAGUACCGGGAGAAUAAGCUCCGGCUAACUCCGUG